CAAAAAGAAAUAUUUUAAUCUCUUGUCUUACAUAACAUUAUUCCUUCCUCAAUUGGCUCUGGAUUUUCUGAUUAAACUUGGCUUCCUUCUUGUAAAGAAAAAUCUGUUUCGUUUUGUUCAUGUAAUAACUUUGUUCUUCAUCUAAUCAUCUCCCUGAGGUAAAUCAAAAUUGUAAUGCAUGUUUGCUUGCCUUGUACGUUUUGCUAAUCUAUUCGAAUUACGAAACCUUUUGACUGCAAAUGUCAGGUCUUUUUUUGGAAAAACACAUGUUCUCCUCUCUUUGUUUCGUAAUUGAAGUCGAUUUUGUGGGUGUUUGGUAUAGUAUUUGACUAUUGAGUAAAAGCCAGAAGAACAAGUGGUGCUGAGUGAGUUCUGUAAGAUUUGGAAUUUGUAUCAGAAACAUGAGUUUGGUAAGCGUCAGAAAUAAUGUGUCGAGACAAGAAUCUCACUGAUAUGCUUCAGAAGAGCGCUUUCAAAGACAUGAAAUAGCUCAAGAAAUAGUGGUCGACAAAGAACUUGACCUUCUUUUGUUUCUCUAUCUUAAGAUUGCAUGCUCUUGUUAUUUUUAUGUCUCCCAUGAGCAUCUUUUGUUGCCUGACAUAUAGCUAAGUUCACGGUUCUUGCUUAGCUUUGGAUAUGUUUGUUAUUUAGAGUUAACAACAUAGUGAGGUCAUAGAAUAAGCUGACAUUCCUUUUUACCAUUUUUGAUCCAUGUAAGCUGACUAAACUUUUUAACCAUUGAACCAAUUAAGCAACAUCCGUCUCUUCCAUUUGUCGUAUUACACUGUUUUGCACAAAAAAAAAGACUUUUGACUUCUAAGUUUUAUCCACUUAGUGAAGAAAAUUCCCUAUAUUGCUGUUGGUGAUCGUCUCACUCGUGCCUCCAAGGUUCUUUUUUUUUAAUAAGUAGCUAGAGAAGGUGCAAAGAACCAUUGAAAUUGGGUAAUUGUGUAGGUAUUGGAACAGCUCAGUAGUCACACCCGUUUCUUCUCCAAGGGUGUGUCCUGUAUGUUGUAGAGUUUAAUCUUGAGCUUGGUCUUGUUUCUGAACAACUAAGGUACACUCUGAGAUCUUUCUGUAUUAGAGCGUAACGAAAACAUUACUUGCUGAGUGGAGACAAGGCGAUGCAGCUUCUUGAGAGUGGCUUGAAAGUGAAGUAACACUGGCUGCUUUGGAUUUGGCUGUUGAGGAGGUUGGUCUUGGAAUCAAGAAAAGUGUUGUGAUAAGGUCAUACUCUGUAUCAAACACUGGUUGAUGAUUAUUUUCCUUUAUCUUAAAGGAUAUUAUUAUGUUGCAUACAAAGUGUGUCAUACUCUGUUAUCAGACACUCUGUGGAGCUGUUACAAUUGGCAAAAGCUUAUCGUGUUUUCUAUAGGUUGUAAAACGAUUUUGACAAAAAUACGCAAGUGAAAUUCCUGGUUCAUGGGGAUCAUUUGAGUGUCAACUGAUAUGGAGAUUACACCAACGCUUGAGAAGAUGCAUGAGGAAAGGCUACUCUUCUAUAUAUCACCAAUGAAGAUACAAGACCUUGGUGGUGUGCAGCAGUUUUAUAUGAAGGGAAUAUACAAAGAGAAUACUGAUUUGGCUGUUUCAACAACAAGUGAAUCUGAUCUUCUCAAGAAAGUUCAAGUUUGAGAGAAGGAUUCGAGGACAUUCGUCAUGAGAACACUUGGCUACAGAUUGCUAAGCUUACAUCAGUAUAUGGAUACUGACGUGGAGAUGGAAGAGUGAAGGAGAGCUUGGGGACGACAAGGAAGGUUUGCUGUUUGUGAAAGGGAAGGGGAAGGGGAAGAGAGUACAAUUGUUUCAACGAAGAUUGAUAAAGUUCAGGGAUAUGAUAAGUGGGCUAAGGAGGCACGUAAUUUGAUUUGCCAAUCAAAAUAGUCAACAAAGAUUGAGAUUGUUCUUCUUCAUGCUUUAGUAGUGACAAGUGUAGCAAAGAGAAUAGGUUUUGUAAAGACUUGAGUAAUACAAUGGUAAGUUCACUGCUCAGCUUCUAUAGUUUGGAACUUUUUGUAACUCAACAUGCGAGACAGAGAGAGAGAUCA